GCCUGCCCGGUGAUUAUAUUUAACGGCCGCGGUAUCCUAACCGUGCAAAGGUAGCGCAAUCACUUGUUCUUUAAAUAAGGACUAGUAUGAACGGCGCCAUGAGGAUCAACUUGUCUCUCACAAUAAGUCCAUGAAACUGAUCUCCCAGUACAAAAGCUGGAAUAAGACCACAAGACGAGAAGACCCUGUGGAGCUUUAAACACCGACUCACUCAAAAUGACGUCGCCGUUUUUAGUUGGGGCGACUUUGGAGCAAAACAAAACCUCCAAAUCACAAACUUAGGCCUACAGGCCUAAGUACAACACCACAUGACCCAAUAUAAUUGAUUAAUGAACCAAGUUACCCCAGGGAUAACAGCGCAAUCUUCUUCUAGAGUCCCUAUCGACAAGAAGGUUUACGACCUCGAUGUUGGAUCCGGAUACCCAAAUGGUGCAGCCGCCAUUAAAGGUUCGUUUGUUCAACGAUUAAUAAUCCCACGUGAUCUGAGUUCAGACCGG
rnacentral:rRNA from 1 species